rnacentral:lncRNA from 1 species
UAUUCAACUGGUAUUUUACUUUAGGGUAAACUUCAAAUACUACCUCUACGGUUUCGCACUUUCUCACUUUAGUAUCCUGUGGUUUAAACUAAGUGUAUCAAGUUAGUGUCCUAUGAUUUUAUUUCUAUCUUUUCAUCAGCUUUUUCGUUAAUAUUUCGUUAAAUUAUAUAUAAAAAACUUCAGGUACCCCACCUAGGUUUACCGAAUAGUCACUUUAAUACCCUUUAGUUUUAACUUUGUCACUAAUUUAACAAAAAAAAUUAGUGUAAUCGAUAAUAAAAAAAUAAAAAGAAAACCACAGGAUACUAAAUUGAUAUACUUUAAACCACUGAGCACUAAAAUGAGAAAGUGUGAAACCACAGAAGUAAUAUUUGAAGUUUUUUCUUUCCUUUAUUUUAUUUAGAAAUCCUAACAAGUAACACCAUUAUGUCGUUAG